GCCUGGCUGGCUGAGUCGGUAGAGCGUUGGACUCUUGAUCUUGGGGUCCUGGGUUUGAGCCCCAUGUUGGGUG
rnacentral:tRNA from 1 species